GGGGGUAUAGCUCAGUUGGUAGAGCAGCUGACUCUUAAUCAGUAGGUCCCAGGUUCGAGCCCUGGUGCCCCCACCA
rnacentral:tRNA from 1 species